UUCCCCUUCUAGCAAUGCCCCGCAAUUGCCGCCUGGAUGUGGACUGCAACCAGCAGCAAACCCACCUCCUUCCCUGGGAUCCCCAAGGGGAGGGCAGAGGUGUUAGUGCUGCUCAGGAAAACACCUGUGCUCACCCCUUCUUCUCAGCCUGUGUGCCAAACAGUCCUAGGACCUUUCUGUUUACUCUUUUUUUAAACACAGAUCCUUUUAUUAGCAGUGAGCCCAGCCAGCAGAAGACGGUGUGCUGCUAAAGUCGUCCUGUUCCUGGCAAAGGGUUCACAGCUCAUCGUUGGGGUGCCUGGGGAGGCUCUGCAGCAGGACAGCGCUUUUAGCAGUGGGAUGUGCAGGAGAGAAUCAGGAAUGGUGGAAAGGAGAAAGAAAGGGCUGGAUCCUGCUCCCUUUCCAGCCAAGUGACUGCCUUGUCCUGCCCCCGGAAAGGGCAGUCAUCUGUCACUGUAACCGGGAGAUGCUGCAAACCAUGUGCAGAUGAGGCUCAGCCACGAGAGAAGCAUUCCCACAUCAGG